UGGGGAAUAUUGGACAAUGGGGGCAACCCUGAUCCAGCGACGCCGCGUGUGUGAAGAAGGCCUGCGGGUUGUAAAGCACUUUUAGUGGGGAUGAAAAGCCGAGGGCUAAUACCUUUCGGUCUUGACCUAACUCAACGAAAAAGCACCGGCUAACUCUGUGCCAGCAGCCGCGGUAAUACAGAGGGUGCAAGCGUUAAUCGGAAUUACUGGGCGUAAAGCGUGCGUAGUCGGCUUUUCAAGUCGGGUGUGAAAGCCCCGGGCUCAACCUGGGAAUUGCAUUCGAUACUGGAUGGCUAGAGUUCGGCAGAGGGAAGUGGAAUUUCCGGUGUAGCGGUGAAAUGCGUAGAUAUCGGAAGGAACAUCAGUGGCGAAAGCGACUUCCUGGACCAGAACUGACGAUCAGGCACGAAAGCGUGGGGAGCAA
rnacentral:rRNA from 1 species